rnacentral:rRNA from 1 species
AACGAACGCUGGCGGCGCGCUUAACACAUGCAAGUCGAACGAGAAGCUGUAGCAAUACAGUUGUACAGUGGCGAACGGGUGAGUAAUACAUGGGUGACCUACCCUCGAGUGGGGGAUAACCAGCCGAAAGGUUGGCUAAUACCGCAUACGGUUCCAGUUCUGCGGGACUGGAAGGAAAGCUGCCCUGUGAGGGUGGCGCUCUUGGAUGGGCUCAUGUCCUANC